rnacentral:rRNA from 1 species
UAAUACGAAGGGGGCUAGCGUUGCUCGGAAUUACUGGGCGUAAAGCGUACGUAGGCGGAUCCUUAAGUCGGUGGUGAAAUCCUGAAGCUCAACUUCAGAACUGCCUUCGAUACUGGGGACCUUGAGUUCGGGAGAGGUGAGUGGAACUGCGAGUGUAGAGGUGAAAUUCGUAGAUAUUCGCAAGAACACCAGUGGCGAAGGCGGCUCACUGGCCCGAUACUGACGCUGAGGUACGAAAGCGUGGGGAGCAAACAGGAUUAGAUACCCUGGUAGUCCACGCCGUAAACGAUGGAUGCUAGCCGUUGUCGGGUUUACUCGUCAGUGGCGCAGCUAACGCAUUAAGCAUCCCGCCUGGGGAGUACGGUCGCAAGAUUA